GCAAAGGUCAGAUUAGGUGGGUCACUGCGGAGUUUCUGUCCUUCUGAAGGUGCUGAGGACCCACUCGGGGAUUUCUAACUUGGCAGAGACUUCAUCCAUUCCAUGGGUACAGUAACAGCUCCUAAGGAAGUAACCUCCUCUUUGGGGAGCAACUAGUCACAGGGUGGAAGGUGGGAUGGAACCAUUGUUACCUGGACAGGCCUGGGCUGGAAUUCCUUUCAGACCCUUAAUUGAUUCGCCUGCUUGAGGAGCCUUCAGUUCCUGGUGACAAAGAUGCUGCGACAGCGGAUGGCAGGCAGCAAGGUCAUGGACGACUCCCGCGAGGCCGCUGCGCUCACUCGGAAUCUCAGAACCAGGAGGACCCGCUGCGCGAGCAGACGCGGCUCCUUCCGAUCCAGAAGGGGAACCGCGCUUCCUAGCCUCCGCUCUCCAGACCACAGCCUGUCCUGUAAUUAGCGGAGCGGGUUCAUCUGAGCUCUGCAAAUCAUGGGCUUUCCACGAAAUAAUGAUGGUUCUGCUGCUCUGGGACAUGAGCACCUCGAAACCUGAAA